CUCCCCAGCCUCCCCAGCCUCGUGGGACUGUGGGGCUGGAAGGGCUUUGCAGCAGCCAAGGCACAGACUGGUGAGGACCAGGGAAACGCAGCGGGGGGAAAUUGCUCUUUUCCAAGAAAAGCAUCCUCCUGGAAGUGGCCAGCAAGGCACCCCUCAAUCCUCUGAAGCUGGGGUGGCUCCAGCACCCCCACAGGCCCCUCUGGGGGUGGGGGGUGGGCACAGAGCAGACCCUGAAGCAGCUCUGGCAGCCCCACUCACCUCCCUGGGGCUGAACACCCAGCCCCACAUCCAUCAUUUCCUUUCCCCAUUCCCCUCACAGUACCUGCUGUCAGGAAUGGCAAGUUUCCCUGGAGGGAGGCCAGAGUCCACAGUAAAAGCUUCAAAAUGCUGUUUUUCCACCCAAACCAGGCCAGCAGCAGCAGCAGCAGCAGCGAGUGCUUUGGUGUUUCUCGUGCGGGGUGAGGUGACCUGGUUUGGUUUUGGGGCUGAUCAAGUAUUCAUCAUGAAGGUCUCUGCAAACUCCAAAGCCAAAGGAACGAGGCCAUCUGGAGGUGCUGGGCUUUGAUCUCAUCUCUGGUGAAGCCUCCUCAUGCAUGGGAGCUGAAGGAAUGCGAGUUCAGCAGAGAAGGGAGAAGCUGCUCCAACCCGAACCACGCGGGAUCCUCGCCAGGAGCGGAGGAACGCAGGAGCGGAGGGCAGAGCAUUCCCAGCGCUGGGGGAUCCAGGGAUGCUCCGGGGAUGCUCCAGCGCUCUCCACCCCUCCGGCUCCCUCUGCUGCUCCCAAACCCCGGCUCUGCAGAGCCCGGGCCUUCCUUUCCCGUGUCGGUUGAAGAGUUAAACCUCAAAAACAGUGUUAACCUCAUUAGACACUGCAACCACAGGAAACCCCGCACUGCUCCCGCCUCUCCUCGCAGGAGGAAAUGUCGGCGAGGAGAAUUUACCCACCCGGGGAAAGGCAGAGCCUCCCUCUGCCAGCGAGCCCUGCCUGCCCCGGGGUUUCACUGAUCCACGGGGAUUUUUUGUGGAAGUGAGAGCAGGAGCCUGCCAGCACCGCGGGGUGAAGCCUGGCUGGGCGGUGUGGUUAUAGAAUGUGUACAAUGAUGUAUAUAAUGUAUAUAAUGAUGUAUAUAAUGUGUCUGGAUGGUUAUAGGAACCUGUGGGUUUGUGUAGUUGCACACACCCCGAGCAGGACCGGGGGUUUUAGUGGGAAUUUCAGCUCUGGGAUGUUCUGGGAGUGCUGAAUGCCCGGGACACACGGCUGGGGCUGCCCGGCCAGCGCGCACAUCUGGAGCCAGCUCAUCUCACCCGGGGCUGGGCUGGCACUGAGGACAGCACAUCUGGGCCCAGCCAGCACAUCUGGAGCUGGCACCGUGCGGGGGAUGUGGGGCUUUCCCAGGACAGGCCAGAGCUUCCUGCAUUUCCCAGCCCCCGAUCUUCCUGUUUGACUGAUGUGUCCUUAUCUCUUCCUGAGCGCUCAGAGCUGCAGC